GACGAACGCUGGCGGCGUGCUUAACACAUGCCAGUCGAACGGAAAGGCCUUUUCGGAGGUACUCGAGUGGCGAACGGGUGAGUAACACGUGGGUGAUCUGCCCUGCACUCUGGGAUAAGCCUGGGAAACUGGGUCUAAUACCGGAUAGGACCGCACUUUAGUGUGUGUGGUGGAAAGUUUUUUCGGUGUAGGAUGAGCCCGCGGCCUAUCAGCUUGUUGGUGGGGUAAUGGCCUACCAAGGCGGCGACGGGUAGCCGGACUGAGAGGUUGGUCGGCCACAUUGGGACUGAGAUACGGCCCAGACUCCGACGGGAGGCAGCAGUGGGGAAUAUUGCACAAUGGGCGCAAGCCUGAUGCAGCGACGCCGCGUGGGGGAUGACGGCCUUCGGGUUGUAAACUCCUUUCGCCAGGGACGAAGCGUUUUGUGACGGUACCUGGAGAAGAAGCACCGGCUAACUACGUG
rnacentral:rRNA from 1 species